GGGAACAUACCCUUUCCUGCGGAAUAGCUCCGGGAAACUGGAAUUAAUACCGCAUACGCCCUACGGGGGAAAGAUUUAUCGGGGUUUGAUGAGCCCGCGUUGGAUUAGCUAGUUGGUGGGGUAAAGGCCUACCAAGGCGACGAUCCAUAGCUGGUCUGGGAGGAUGAUCAGCCACAUUGGGACUGAGACACGGCCCAAACUCCUACGGGAGGCAGCAGUGGGGAAUAUUGGACAAUGGGCGCAAGCCUGAUCCAGCCAUGCCGCGUGAGUGAUGAAGGCCCUAGGGUUGUAAAGCUCUUUCAACGGUGAAGAUAAUGACGGUAACCGUAGAAGAAGCCCCGGCUAACUUCGUGCCAGCAGCCGCGGUAAUACGAAGGGGGCUAGCGUUGUUCGGAAUUACUGGGCGUAAAGCGCACGUAGGCGGAUAUUUAAGUCAGGGGUGAAAUCCCGGGGCUCAACCUCGGAACUGCCUUUGAUACUGGGUAUCUUGAGUAUGGAAGAGGUAAGUGGAAUUGCGAGU
rnacentral:rRNA from 1 species